rnacentral:rRNA from 1 species
AACGAACGCUGGCGGCAUGCCUAACACAUGCAAGUCGAACGAGACCUUCGGGUCUAGUGGCGCACGGGUGCGUAACGCGUGGGAACCUGCCCUUAGGUUCGGAAUAACUCCCCGAAAGGGGUGCUAAUACCGGAUAAUGUCUUCGGACCAAAGAUUUAUCGCCUUUGGAUGGGCCCGCGUUGGAUUAGCUAGUUGGUAGGGUAAAAGCCUACCAAGGCGACGAUCCAUAGCUGGUCUGAGAGGAUGAUCAGCCACACUGGGACUGAGACACGGCCCAGACUCCUACGGGAGGCAGCAGUGGGGAAUAUUGGACAAGGGGCGAAAGCCUGAUCCAGCUAUGCCGCGUGAGUGAUGAAGGCCUUAGGGUUGUAAAGCUCUUUUACCCGGGAUGAUAAUGACAGUACCGGGAGAAUAAGCUCCGGCUAACUCCGUG